rnacentral:rRNA from 1 species
UACGUAGGUGACCAGCGUUGUCCGGAUUUACUGGGCGUAAAGAGCGCGCAGGCGGUCGUUCAAGUCGAGUGUGAAAAGCCCCCGGCUCAACUGGGGAGGGUCAUUCGAUACUGAUCGACUCGAAGGCAGGGAGAGGGAAAGCGGAAUUCCCGGGUGUAGUGGUGAAAUGCGUAGAUAUCGGGAGGAACACCAGUGGCGAAGGCGGCUUCCUGGCCCUGUUCUUGAC